UACGUAGGGGGCUAGCGUUGUCCGGAAUCAUUGGGCGUAAAGCGCGCGCAGGCGGUCCUUUAAGUCUGAUGUGAAAUCUUGCGGCUCAACCGCAAGCGGUCAUUGGAAACUGGGGGACUUGAGUACAGAAGAGGAAAGUGGAAUUCCACGUGUAGCGGUGAAAUGCGUAGAGAUGUGGAGGAACACCAGUGGCGAAGGCGACUUUCUGGUCUGUAACUGACGCUGAGGCGCGAAAGCGUGGGGAGCAAACAGG
rnacentral:rRNA from 1 species